CACGUAGGGCGCGAGCGUUGUCCGGAAUUAUUGGGCGUAAAGAGCUCGUAGGCGGCCUGUUGCGUCCGCUGUGAAAGCCCGGGGCUUAACCCCGGGUCGGCAGUGGAUACGGGCAGGCUAGAGGUAGGUAGGAGAGAAUGGAAUUCCCGGUGUAGCGGUGAAAUGCGCAGAUAUCGGGAGGAACACCGGUGGCGAAGGCGGUUCUCUGGGCCUUACCUGACGCUGAGGAGCGAAAGCGUGGGGAGCGAACAGG
rnacentral:rRNA from 1 species